UCCCUUGUAGCUCAGUUGGUAAAGAAUCUGCUUGCAAUGCAGGAGACCCAGGUUCGAUCCCUGGGUUGGGAA
rnacentral:tRNA from 1 species